rnacentral:rRNA from 1 species
GUAUGUUAAACGAGAAGACUUUAGAUAUGAUCCAGAGUACCACGGGACACGUGAAACCCUGUGGGAAGCAGGAGGGACCACCCUCCAAGGCUAAAUACUACCUAGGGACCGAUAGCGUAUAGUACCGGGAGGGAAAGGUGAAAAGAACCCCGGGAGGGGAGUGAAAUAGAACCUGAAACCCUGCACUUACAAGCUGUGGAAGCACAUUUCUUGUGUGACCGCGUACUUUUUGU